AUGUGUGAGCGCGCGGUGUGUGAGCGUGGGCACAGCCGGAGACCUCCGCGCUCUGUCCAGAGUACAGGGGUCCGGUCGAACGAGUCUGGAGGAGCCCACAGAACAUGCUUCUGGGCUCCUGGUGGUCAGGACCUGGGCAGGCCGAGAAGAUGGUCCAGCAGGGAGGGGAGGCCCAGCUCCGCCGUGGACCCCACCGCCUGGCAGCCCCGGACAGAGCCCCACAGGAAGGAAGAGUCCAGCUCCCCGUGGAGCCUCAGCCAACCAACCUCCUCCCCAGAGCCUCGCACGGAUGACCUGAAGGCCCCCAGCCCUGCUGCUGCCCUCUGGACACCGUUCUCUGCCUCUCUCCCUGGCGAGCAGCUUCAGGAUCCAGCGAGCAGCUCUGCAUGGUGACCCACAUGGUGCCCAUUGGUCCCACAACCCUCAAAGAUCGCCCUGCCAUUUCACAGCGCCCCCAGGGGCACCGCUGCAGUGCCUGGGAGGCGGCUGCUGGCUGCAGGCCCACACAGGUACAAGCUUUGCCCAGACGCCAGCUCUGGCCCUGAGGCACAGAGGUGAGCCCUGACUGAGCUAAAGGGACUCCACGCUGGCCAGCUAAUGACCCCAGAGACUGCUGCUUCCCUCUCCUCUUAUCAAACAACAGGGAAAACUGCUCGUACUGCAAAACCCUUCCUGUGCUAACCGCAAACUUGAUUAACAAGCCUGGGAGCAGAUGGGAUGUUAAGGGGAACCAUAAAACACUACCCCUGAAAGACAAGGGUAAGAUAAGCAAAUGUAUCUGAAGCUUCUCCCCUUUCGCAGCUGUGAGACAGCCCUGACCUAUGUUUUAACUUUUUUGUUUAGAAAAUCCCUAUAAAACCUAUGCACAAUCCUGUAGUGGGGCUUCACCUUUCUUAGGAAGCGGAGUCCACAAGUGUGAAAUCCACUUCUUUCAGUUUUAUCUGUGUCCCAGUAUUCGGCGGUCUCUGAGUGGCUUGGUAUAAACCCAGGUGCACCUGCCCGCCACUGGAACUUCCGGAGGGGACAGCUGCAGGUGUCCGCAAAGCUCCUCGUCUUUGGGGAGCCAGAGUGGGAGGGGCUGUUCCCCCAGGUCAAAGUCACCAGGGCCCGAGGCACUCCCGGUACGGACUUCAGCCAGAUGUAAAUGUGGACCCUGGAGUGUUGCUAAAGAAACCAUUUACCGCUGAGUAACUGACAAAUUACAUUAAUUACAUUUUAAAAUUACACAUUAAUUACAUUUCUGUAAGGGUUAAAACCAGGCCGAUCAGGAUCACGCAUAGCUACCCUGCGGUCAGCGUCUCUCCCCGGGAAAUCUCCCUUGUCUGCCUGUGGGUGUCCUUGCUUUUCCAGGGCCCUCUGCAGACUCACACGCACCUGGAGAAACAAGUCAUCUUUUCAGCGUCUGUCCUAUUAUACGGAGUGCGGCCCUGCUGCUUUUAUUGGGGCCAGCAACUGGCUUGCAGGGCUUUCUUGUUGAUGCUCACUGUUUGAUUUCUGUUUCUACUCCACCCUAGCGGCCAGUUCAGCCGUUUACUUAACCACCUCCCCCAGCAAUUGUUUCUGCCUUUUCAUUCUUGCAAAUAAUGCUUCAAAGAGCUCCCCACCCCCGGCCCUGGGGGUUGAACUCAAGAGUAUUUGCACUGAGCUACAUUCCCAGGCCUUUUUUUUUUUCAGGUUUUUUUUUUUUUUUUUUUUUUNNNNNNNNNNNNNNNNNNNNNNNNNNNNNNNNNNNNNNNNNNNNNNNNNNNNNNNNNNNNNNNUUUUUUUUUUUUUUUUUUUUUUUAAGUCACUGAAUUGUCCCGGCCAGCCUUGAAUCUGCAGUGAUCCUCCUGCCUCAGCCUCCUAGAGUGCUGGGAUCACAGGUGUGCACCACCACACCUGAGUGUCUGGUUGUGUGUCUUCCUGAAUAUGUUGCAGGGCUUCUCUGGCAUUGAUAUGAAGAGUGGUACAGCCGGGCGUGGUGGCGCACGCCUGCAAUCCCAGAACUGGGGAGGCUGAGGCAGGAAGAUUGCUCUGAAUUCGAGACCAGCCUGGGCUACAUAAGUGAGUUCCAGGUCAGUCUCAAAAAAAAAAAGAGUGGUGGUUAGAACGAACUUUUCAAAAUCGCAAACCCCCCCAGCAC
ensembl:lincRNA